UACGUAGGGUGCGAGCGUUGUCCGGAAUUAUUGGGCGUAAAGAGCUCGUAGGCGGUGUGUCACGUCGGCCGUGAAAACCUGCAGCUUAACUGUGGGCGUGCGGUCGAUACGGGCAUCACUGGAGUUCGGCAGGGGAGACUGGAAUUCCUGGUGGUAGCGGUGAAAUGCGCAGAUAUCAGGAGGAACACCGGUGGCGAAGGCGGGUCUCUGGGCCGAUACUGACGUGGAGGAGCGAAAGCGUGGGGAGCAAACAGG
rnacentral:rRNA from 1 species